rnacentral:lncRNA from 1 species
AUCUGAUGGUGUUAUAAUCACCUGCUUCCUCUUUUGCUUGGCUCUCUUUCUCUCUCUCGCCUGCUGUGAUGUAAGACAUACCUUUCACCUUCUGCCAUGAUUGUGAAGCUUCCUCAGCCAUAUGGAACUGGAACCUGAUGGAAUAAACUGCUGUGAGAGGGAGUAUUGAAAGAGCCAUUUCCUCAUCAUAAAGAUGCAGUAGCCAUAAUUAUUCCAAUCAUCCAAAAGAGAAGACUUUAAAGUACAGUAGUUAGCCAUCAAAAAGAGAAGGCUAAUAUCCAGUUAUGAGAGCAUUUUCCCAAGUGAAUUUUGACCAGACUGAGACAUACUACAAAGGACAGUUGCCAGAAACAACACCCAAAGAUACUUCUCCCCUGGACCUUGUUCCCAGGCUCCGUGUGAAGCUGAACACUCCGCAUGAUCUCCCUGCCACCAUAGCAAGCUAUGAAGUUCAUUACACAUGCAGGUAGCAGACAAUACAGCUCUGCUUCCAUUUCUGAGCACCUACGGUAGACUGCCAUUAUUCAGUGUGCCAGCCUGUUUCCAAGCCUACAAUGUAUAGUUCCUCUAGUACGUAAACUCAUUUUUUUUCUCAGAGAGCCAAGUAGAGACACAGGCAGUUUUCUUCUCAAAAUGUGCCAGAAAUUCCAAAACAAUCUCAAAGCAUUAAAGGCUAUGUGCACAAAGUACAUGCAGUUGUAGAGUCCCUCUUUUGCAGAAACUUGCACCUCAGCCCACCAGCAUUUCCUUGGUGCUUCUCCUCCUGACCCUCAUCCUCAUGCACAGACCAUUGGAUAUUACUGCACUCACGUACUUGUGUACUUCUUUCUAACAGCUGACUGAAAUCUUUCCUACAUUUUCAGGGUGAUGGGCAGAAAGUUUUUCUCAGGAAACAUUGUAGGGAAGCUGGCAGGGGACAGUUAUAUAUAUGGGGAGGGUCACAUUCUAUUAUUCAUGGGUUUCCG